GCAGUAAGGAAUAUUGGUCAAUGGAGGCAACUCUGAACCAGCCAUGCCGCGUGCAGGAAGACUGCCCUAUGGGUUGUAAACUGCUUUUAUCCGGGAAUAAACCACGAUACGUGUAUCGUGCUGAAUGUACCGGAAGAAUAAGGAUCGGCUAACUCCGUGCCAGCAGCCGCGGUAAUACGGAGGAUCCAAGCGUUAUCCGGAUUUAUUGGGUUUAAAGGGUGCGUAGGCGGCCUGUUAAGUCAGGGGUGAAAGACGGUAGCUCAACUAUCGCAGUGCCCUUGAUACUGAUGGGCUUGAAUGGACUAGAGGUAGGCGGAAUGAGACAAGUAGCGGUGAAAUGCAUAGAUAUGUCUCAGAACACCGAUUGCGAAGGCAGCUUACUAUGGUUUAAUUGACGCUGAGGCACGAAAGCGUGGGGAUCAAACAGGAUUAGA
rnacentral:rRNA from 1 species